CUGCACUGGGAAGUAUGAGAAGAUGAUCAGAAGAGGAGCAGAAAGUACUCCAUUAUCCAGCACCAACCAUCUGAAGACUUUGGUGUCAGGCCCCUCUUCUGUAAGGCUGCUGCUGUUGGCUGGGGUUCCAUUCCAGGCCCUAUUUGCCUGGUCCUUCCCGCACUUGAAGGUGUCACGCAUGGAGGCUGCAGAACAGCACAGAUGGCUGCCUGCUCCUUCCUCUGGGAUCUCUGUCCACACAGAGCACUGACCUGAUGCCAGUGGAAACACUACUGUGUAAGGUUGUACAGAUCUAUGGAAAAGCCAAGCUGCCCUGACAGGGUAGCACAACC
rnacentral:lncRNA from 10 species